rfam:Asian citrus Psyllid, Diaphorina citri - Florida Strain, whole genome shotgun sequence.
GCUCCCAUUGUGUAGUGGUCAUUGCUCUCGCCUUGCACGCGGGAGACCCGGAUUCGAAUCCCGGAGGGAUCA